GAAGAUAGCGGCGGACGGGUGAGUAACACGUGGGCAACCUGCCUGUAAGACUGGGAUAACUUCGGGAAACCGAAGCUAAUACCGGAUAGGAUCUUCUCCUUCAUGGGAGAUGAUUGAAAGAUGGUUUCGGCUAUCACUUACAGAUGGGCCCGCGGUGCAUUAGCUAGUUGGUGAGGUAACGGCUCACCAAGGCAACGAUGCAUAGCCGACCUGAGAGGGUGAUCGGCCACACUGGGACUGAGACACGGCCCAGACUCCUACGGGAGGCAGCAGUAGGGAAUCUUCCGCAAUGGACGAAAGUCUGACGGAGCAACGCCGCGUGAGUGAUGAAGGCUUUCGGGUCGUAAAACUCUGUUGUUAGGGAAGAACAAGUACGAGAGUAACUGCUCGUACCUUGACGGUACCUAACCAGAAAGCCACGGCUAACUACGUGCCAGCAGCCGCGGUAAUACGUAGGUGGCAAGCGUUAUCCGGAAUUAUUGGGCGUAAAGCGCGCGCAGGCGGUUUCUUAAGUCUGAUGUGAAAGCCCACGGCUCAACCGUGGAGGGUCAUUGGAAACUGGGGAACUUGAGUGCAGAAGAGAAAAGCGGAAUUCCACGUGUAGCGGUGAAAUGCGUAGAGAUGUGGAGGAACACCAGUGGCGAAGGCGGCU
rnacentral:rRNA from 2 species